GUAAGUGCCAACCGUGGUGGCAACGGGUAACGAGGAAUCAGGGUUCGAUUUCGGAGAGGGAGCAUGCGAAACGGCUACCACAUCCAAGGAAGGUAGUGAGCGCAAAUUACCCACUCCCGGCACGGGGAGGUAGUGAUAAAAA
rnacentral:ncRNA from 1 species